ensembl:snoRNA LOC120101984 small nucleolar RNA SNORD36
UUGCCAAUGAUGGUUAAGAAUUUCUUCACCUGAAUCAACUAUGUGGUCAUACUCUUCUUGUCUGAGGCAAA